rnacentral:rRNA from 1 species
UACGAAGGGUGCAAGCGUUAAUCGGAAUUACUGGGCGUAAAGGGUGCGUAGGCGGUUGUUUAAGUCUGUCGUGAAAUCCCCGGGCUCAACCUGGGAAUGGCGAUGGAUACGGGGCAGCUAGAGUGUGUCAGAGGAUGGUGGAAUUCCCGGUGUAGCGGUGAAAUGCGUAGAGAUCGGGAGGAACAUCAGUGGCGAAGGCGGCCAUCUGGGGCAACACUGACGCUGAAGCACGAAAGCGUGGGGAGCAAACAGG